GUCCAGGGUAGCCUAGUGGACAUGGCAUCUGCCCGGUAAGCAGAAAACUGUGGGUUCGAUUCCCAUCCUUGGGCA
rnacentral:tRNA from 1 species